CCGCACGAUUCUAAUUAUUCGGAUGUAACAAAACUAUGUCGGUGACAAUUGGCUCUAUAUAUUUCACUGUCAAACUGUCCUCUAUCAACUGACUUCCAGAAUGCACACUUUCCCAACUCCCAAGUAUCAGAUAGCAUAAAGAUUUCUGCAUUCUUGGAUUCAUCGCUACCCGUGUUUUGAUUUCAUUUCACCUGAAGGGCUUCUUCUCUUGAAUCAUUCUGGCGCACACGUUAACAUGUGCAGCCUCGGCUUGAAUCCUUGACGAAGAGGUGGCCGCCCCGUUGGUGCCACUGAGCCAUCUGAUCCUGUGGAAACACCAGUAUCUGGAGCUUGUGCAGCUCCUGGUGGUGCAGCUGUGGGAACUGCACCAGGAACUGAGAAUCCUGAUCAUACACUCUCCUUCUUUAUUCAUGACAUACUUGGUGGGUCCCUCCCCUCAGCUAUCGCCGUGACUUGCACCGUCCUCCCGGUUAACAAUGGAAUCCCAACGAACAAUGCCAAUGGUGGAAUCAUCAGCAACAACAACAUUCCCUUCCUCACCGGCCUAAGCGGAUUCACCGCCAACGUAAUGGAAAACAACAACGGGAACAACAUAAUAGGCGGUGUCCCCGGGUUCCCUGUCCUAGACAGCGCACAAUUCCCUUCCGGGACAACCCUCCAGAAGCUCAUGUUCAGGACAAUGACAGUAUUCGACGACAAAUUAACAGAAGGGCACGACCUCGGAUCAGGCCUGGUUGGAAAAGCGCAAGGCUUUUACGUAGCAAGUUCAGAAGAUGGAAAUAGCCAAACCAUGG
rnacentral:lncRNA from 1 species